AUACCUUUCUCGGCCUUUUGGCUAAGAUCAAGUGUAAUAUAUGUUCUUAUCAGUUUAAUAUCUGAUAUGUGAACCCUUGUGUCCACGCGAUAUUAACUUAAUUUUUGUGGGGUAGGGCCCACCACAGUGGCUUGCUACUGGGGUCCUUUGUGUCACCUAGGCGUUGCACUACUGCCUGUUGAUUGGCACACCCCAA